rnacentral:rRNA from 1 species
GAUUAAGUUAUUAAGGGCGCACGGUGGAUGCCUUGGCACUAGAAGCCGACGAAGGACGUUACUAACGACGAUAUGCUUUGGGUAGCUGUAAGUAAGCGUUGAUCCAGAGAUUUCCGAAUGGGGGAACCCAGCACGAGUUAUGUCGUGUUAUCGACAAGUGAAUUCAUAGCUUGUCAGAAGGCAGACCCGGAGAACUGAAACAUCUUAGUACCCGGAGGAAGAGAAAGAAAAAUCGAUUCCCUGAGUAGCGGCGAGCGAAACGGGAAGAGCCCAAACCAAUAAGCUUGCUUAUUGGGGUUGUAGGACACUCUAUACGGAGUUACAAAGGAAUAUAUUAGACGAAUCAUCUGGAAAGUUGAAUCAAAGAAGGUAAUAAUCCUGUAGUUGAAAAUAUAUUCUCUCUUGAGUGGAUCCUGAGUACGACGGAGCACGUGAAAUUCCGUCGGAAUCUGGGAGGACCAUCUCCUAAGGCUAAAUACUCUCUAGUGACCGAUAGUGAACCAGUACCGUGAGGGAAAGGUGAAAAGUACCCCGGAAGGGGAGUGAAAGAGAACUUGAAACCGUGUGCUUACAAGUAGUCAGAGCCCGUUAAUGGGUGAUGGCGUGCCUUUUGUAGAAUGAACCGGCGAGUUACGAUCUGAUGCAAGGUUAAGCAGGAGAUGUGGAGCCGUAGCGAAAGCGAGUCUGAAUAGGGCGUUGAGUAUUUGGUCGUAGACCCGAAACCAGGUGAUCUACCCAUGGUCAGGUUGAAGUUCAGGUAACACUGAAUGGAGGACCGAACCGACUUACGUUGAAAAGUGAGCGGAUGAACUGUGGGUAGCGGAGAAAUUCCAAUCGAACUUGGAGAUAGCUGGUUCUCUCCGAAAUAGCUUUAGGGCUAGCCUCAAGUGAUGAUUAUUGGAGGUAGAGCACUGUUUGGACGAGGGGCCCCUCUCGGGUUACCGAAUUCAGACAAACUCCGAAUGCCAAUUAAUUUAACUUGGGAGUCAGAACAUGGGUGAUAAGGUCCGUGUUCGAAAGGGAAACAGCCCAGACCACCAGCUAAGGUCCCAAAAUAUAUGUUAAGUGGAAAAGGAUGUGGCGUUGCCCAGACAACUAGGAUGUUGGCUUAGAAGCAGCCAUCAUUUAAAGAGUGCGUAAUAGCUCACUAGUCGAGUGACACUGCGCCGAAAAUGUACCGGGGCUAAACAUAUUACCGAAGCUGUGGAUUGUCCGUAGGACAAUGGUAGGAGAGCGUUCUAAGGGCGUUGAAGCAUGAUCGCAAGGACAUGUGGAGCGCUUAGAAGUGAGAAUGCCGGUGUGAGUAGCGAAAGACGGGUGAGAAUCCCGUCCACCGAUUGACUAAGGUUUCCAGAGGAAGGCUCGUCCGCUCUGGGUUAGUCGGGUCCUAAGCUGAGGCCGACAGGCGUAGGCGAUGGAUAACAGGUUGAUAUUCCUGUACCACCUAGCAUCGUUUUAAUCGAUGGGGGGACGCAGUAGGAUAGGCGAAGCGUACGAUUGGAUUGUACGUCNNNNNNNNNNNNNNNNNNNNNNNNNNNNNNNNNNNNNNNNNNNNNNNNNNNNNNNNNNNNNNNNNNNNNNNNNNNNNNNNNNNNNNNNNNNNNNNNNNNAGUUAGCUUCUGCGAAGCUACGAAUCGAAGCCCCAGUAAACGGCGGCCGUAACUAUAACGGUCCUAAGGUAGCGAAAUUCCUUGUCGGGUAAGUUCCGACCCGCACGAAAGGCGUAACGAUUUGGGCACUGUCUCAACGAGAGACUCGGUGAAAUCAUAGUACCUGUGAAGAUGCAGGUUACCCGCGACAGGACGGAAAGACCCCGUGGAGCUUUACUGUAGCCUGAUAUUGAAAUUCGGCACAGCUUGUACAGGAUAGGUAGGAGCCUUUGAAACGUGAGCGCUAGCUUACGUGGAGGCGCUGGUGGGAUACUACCCUAGCUGUGUUGGCUUUCUAACCCGCACCACUUAUCGUGGUGGGAGACAGUGUCAGGCGGGCAGUUUGACUGGGGCGGUCGCCUCCUAAAAGGUAACGGAGGCGCUCAAAGGUUCCCUCAGAAUGGUUGGAAAUCAUUCAUAGAGUGUAAAGGCAUAAGGGAGCUUGACUGCGAGACCUACAAGUCGAGCAGGGUCGAAAGACGGACUUAGUGAUCCGGUGGUUCCGCAUGGAAGGGCCAUCGCUCAACGGAUAAAAGCUACCCCGGGGAUAACAGGCUUAUCUCCCCCAAGAGUUCACAUCGACGGGGAGGUUUGGCACCUCGAUGUCGGCUCAUCGCAUCCUGGGGCUGUAGUCGGUCCCAAGGGUUGGGCUGUUCGCCCAUUAAAGCGGUACGCGAGCUGGGUUCAGAACGUCGUGAGACAGUUCGGUCCCUAUCCGUCGUGGGCGUAGGAAAUUUGAGAGGAGCUGUCCUUAGUACGAGAGGACCGGGAUGGACAUACCUCUGGUGUACCAGUUGUCGUGCCAACGGCAUAGCUGGGUAGCUAUGUAUGGACGGGAUAAGUGCUGAAAGCAUCUAAGCAUGAAGCCCCCCUCAAGAUGAGAUUUCCCAACUUCGGUUAUAAGAUCCCUCAAAGAUGAUGAGGUUAAUAGGUUCGAGGUGGAAGCGUGGUGACACGUGGAGCUGACGAAUACUAAUCGAUCGAAGACUUAAUCAA